UUACAAAAGCAGAUAAGUCGUUUUGAAAAGUUUGUCUUGAUAUAUGUGUUCAAUUGGAUUUGUGUUUACAUCUUUUCACUUCAUCGCGAAGGAAAAACCUCGGGAAAAACUAUUUCAUAAUUCAUUAAUAACUAAAAUAUAUUUUAUUUGAAAUGAUUCGGCGGUCUUUUUUAAAAUAUUUUCUCGCCUCGAAGAUGUUUUUUUUUGCAGUGUGGUGAGAUUGUUUAAUGAAAAAUAGAAGAAGAAAAAACAAAAUAUAAACAACUCUCGGUGAUUGCGGCGGCCGUAAUGCAACCCCGGCACCUGUUAUCUGGUGAUAGCGACGGUAAUACCCCAGAAGUUCCGUCGGAUGCCAAGCAGUUGCACGAGUAAGCGCAUCAACUUAUCCCAAUCGCUUUUGGGAACCGGAAUUAAGUGGUAAGGUUUGAGGCAACAUAUCUUCAUUCUCGGAUGCGCCGCGUACUCAUUAAAUCGACGUGUACUUGGUCCACCCACCAAGCUCGCUGGAUUGCUGUUCGGCGUUCUUGCAACUGCCCUGUCCAUCGUACCCCUCCAGCUUUUCUGGAUACUGCGUUCGUCGUAGAGUUAGACGAGCUCGUGGUUUAUCUUUCGUCGCCAGACAUCGUUCUCUUGCACAUCGCCAAAGAGGAUACUAAGCAUGUAUAUCAGCGACGAGCGCUAAACAUUGCUGAACGCCGCCUACAACGUACUCUCUCAAAUUUUAUGCCUUCGACUGAUACCAAUUGCAAGAGAGUUCGUGGGGCAGCACCAGGCGGGAUUAUGGGCGGACCAGACCAGGUGUUCACCGUACGCCAGAUAUCGCAGAAAUGCCUUGAAUACAAUGUACCCACGCAUCAUCUAUUCAUCGACUUCAAAGCCGCUAACACAUGAACACGGAUUUCCGGAUAAGCUGAUACGGUUGAUCAAGGACGAUGGAUUGGUUGAUGUGCAUAGUUCGAGUUCCGGGGGCAUUCUCGAGUCCCUUUGAAACGCGCAAGAUGAUGGUCUUUCGUACCUGCUAUUCAACAACGCUUUGGAGGGAGUCAUACGAAGAUCAGGCAUUGACACGAGUGGUUCGAUU